GACGAACGCUGGCGGCGUGCUUAACACAUGCAAGUCGAACGGAAAGGCCCUGCUUUUGUGGGGUGCUCGAGUGGCGAACGGGUGAGUAACACGUGAGUAACCUUCCCUUUACUUUGGGAUAACUUCAGGAAACUGGGGCUAAUACCUGAUAGGAGCUCCUGCUGCAUGGUGGUGGUUGGAAAGUUUCGGCGGUUGGGGAUGGACUCGCGGCUUAUCAGCUUGUUGGUGGGGUAGUGGCUUACCAAGGCUUUGACGGGUAGCCGGCCUGAGAGGGUGACCGGCCACAUUGGGACUGAGAUACGGCCCAGACUCCUACGGGAGGCAGCAGUGGGGAAUAUUGCACAAUGGGCGGAAGCCUGAUGCAGCAACGCCGCGUGCGGGAUGACGGCCUUCGGGUUGUAAACCGCUUUCGCCUGUGACGAAGCGUGAGUGACGGUAAUGGGUAAAGAAGCACCGGCUAACUACGUG
rnacentral:rRNA from 1 species